UACAGAGGGUGCGAGCGUUGUUCGGAAUUACUGGGCGUAAAGGGCGCGUAGGUGGCCCGGUCAGUUCGUGGUGAAAGCGCGGGGCUCAACCCUGCGUCGGCCAUGAAUACUGCCGCGGCUGGAGCACUGUAGAGGCAGGCGGAAUUCCGGGUGUAGCGGUGGAAUGCGUAGAGAUCCGGAAGAACACCGGUGGCGAAGGCGGCCUGCUGGGCAGUUGCUGACACUGAGGCGCGACAGCGUGGGGAGCAAACAGG
rnacentral:rRNA from 1 species